rnacentral:lncRNA from 1 species
GGCCUAAAAACACUCUCAGCUCCCACAUCCCACUCCCCUCCUGUGUCCUGUAACUGACAAGACCCCCUGAGGAGGAGGCACAGGAGGUCUCCUGCCAUCCAGGACUUCUGGAGGUGGUGCCUUGCUGCCCGAGAUGAGAGACACUUUGGUUCUGCAGCCCCAUCCUUCCCACCAGCACAGCUGGGAGAGAGCCUGCUCGAUGGCACUGGGUUCCCGCACCAAGGGAUAAGGCACUGUGUGUUUGACAAGAAGGCGCUCACGGCUGGCUGUUCCCAGAUUCUUCAAAGAGAGGUCCCAUAGCCUGCUGUGGAGAGGACAGGGGGGCUGAGCCUGAGCCCUAGGGAUCUCCAGUCUGCGUUCAUCAGGAAGUCCUGCUUUGAUCUGCAAAAGGGGAAUCUCUACAAGAUUCUGCCGAGGAAAAUGUUCUGUGCUUCCUAAAAAACUUGCAAAAUGACUUGCCAAGACCAAAUAAACGUUUCCUGAUUC